CGGACAAUUCCUCCUUGACAGCCAGUCUCAUCAGGCCUCAUCAUGAUAACCAGUAGGUGUGAUUUCCGUAGCACAGGAAAAUUGUAUCCUUGGAAUGUGGAAUCAACCCAACACAUUUAAAUUAGUUUCAAAAGUAGAACUAGGCGGCAGGGUUUUCUAAACACACUUUCUCUCCCCUUCUCUUCUCUCUCUUACACUCCUCCCCCCCCAAUCUACUCCCUCCCUAGACAGGCUUACUCUACUGGUAGCUUGAAUUUGUGAAAUCGGCUCUAAUCUCCCUCAACCCCCCACCCCCCCACCAAAUCCUCUAAAGGUAUUAUUUAAAGGUGAAAAAGAACAGAAGGCAUCAGAGAGGAAGUUUUGGAAGUAGAAAAGCAGAUGGGGUAAGUGACCCAGCAAACAGCAGGAAGUUCCUUCUUCAGCCUGAGUGUACAAAGCCCUGACUUCCAUCAAGGAACCACCCAAAGGCUCCAGACCCAAGAUGUCUGCCUCAACUACACAGAGGAACUCAUGGUACAGGAAUCCCACCCAAGUUGCUGAAACGUAAGAGGGAAAGUGAGACAGGACUGCUGAUCCCCGAGAUUCGCUGAGGGCAGAGGUCACGUCUUAGGCUCUCAUCUCCCCACACGGCAAGGCAAAAAGCAAGCACGGUUCUGGCAAAACCUUCCUCAAGCCUCUAAAUGAAGCCCCAGAACCGCGGCCUCUAGGAAGACAUAGCGACCCACCGUCCCCACCGUCCUUCAGAUGUCGCCCUCCGCUGUGCGUGUCAGCGCUCUCUCCAUGCACACUCCGCGGGGAUCAUGUACACACUACGCUGC